rnacentral:rRNA from 1 species
AUUGAACGCUGGCGGCAUGCCUUACACAUGCAAGUCGAACGGCAGCGGGGGAGAAGCUUGCUUUUCCUGCCGGCGAGUGGCGAACGGGUGAGUAAUACAUCGGAACGUGCCCUGUAGUGGGGGAUAACUAGUCGAAAGAUUAGCUAAUACCGCAUACGACCUGAGGGUGAAAGUGGGGGACCGCAAGGCCCCAUGCUAUAGGAGCGGCCGAUGUCUGAUUAGCUAGUUGGUGGGGUAAAGGCCUACCAAGGCGACGAUCAGUAGCUGGUCUGAGAGGACGAUCAGCCACACUGGGACUGAGACACGGCCCAGACUCCUACGGGAGGCAGCAGUGGGGAAUUUUGGACAAUGGGCGAAAGCCUGAUCCAGCAAUGCCGCGUGUGUGAAGAAGGCCUUCGGGUUGUAAAGCACUUUUGUCCGGAAAGAAAUGGCUCUGGUUAAUACCUGGGGUCGAUGACGGUACCGGAAGAAUAAGGACCGGCUAACUACGUGCCAGCAGCCGCAGUAA